GCCGGGCGCGGCGGCUCACGCCUGUAAUCCCAGCACUCUGGGAGGCUGAGGUGGGUGGAUCACCUGAGGUCAGGAGUUCAAGACCAGCCUGGCCAACAUGGUGAAACCCUAUCUCUA
ensembl:misc_RNA Metazoa_SRP Metazoan signal recognition particle RNA